rnacentral:rRNA from 1 species
AUACGGAGGAUCCGAGCGUUAUCCGGAUUUAUUGGGUUUAAAGGGUGCGCAGGCGGCCAUUUAAGUCAGCGGUUAAAUCGUGGGGCUCAACCCCAUUCUGCCGUUGAUACUGGGUGGCUUGAUUGCGGUCGAGGUUGGCGGAAUUCGUUGUGUAGCGGUGGAAUGCAUAGAUAUGACGAAGAACACCGAUUGCGUAGGCAGCUGACCAGAUCGCAAAUGACGCUCAUGCACAAAAGUGCGGGGAUCGAACAGGAUUAGAUACCCUGGUAGUCCGCACAGUAAACGAUGAAUACUUGUUUUCGGCGAUAUAAUGUCGGAGGCAAAGCGAAAGCGAUAAGUAUUCCACCUGGGGAGUACGCCGGCAACGGUGAAACUCAAAUGAAUUGACGGGG